AUUGAACGCUGGCGGCAGGCCUAACACAUGCAAGUCGAACGAGUGGCGGAGGGGUGUAUAAUGUCGGGGCAAAUGCUUGACGGUGGGGGAAAACUACGGGAAACGGUUGCUAAUACUGCAUACACAUGGUUGUGCUCAGCUGGGCUUAGCUAGUAGGUGGGGUAACGGCUCACCUAGGCGACGAUCCCUAGCUGGUCUGAGAGGAUGACCAGCCACACGGGAACUGAGACACGGUCCAGACUCCUACGGGAGGCAGCAGUGGGGAAUAUUGCACAAUGGGCGCAAGCCUGAUGCAGCCAGGCCGCGUGUAUGAAGAAGGCCUUCGGGUUGUAAAGUACUUUCAGCGAGGAGGCGUUACUCGCAGAAGAAGCACCGGCUAACUCCGUGCCAGCAGCCGCGGUAAUUC
rnacentral:rRNA from 1 species